rnacentral:rRNA from 1 species
GAUGAACGCUGGCGGUGUGCCUAAUACAUGCAAGUCGAGCGAACAGACGAGGAGCUUACUCCUCUGACGUUAGCGGCGGACGGGUGAGUAACACGUGGAUAACCUACCUAUAAGACUGGGAUAACUUCGGGAAACCGGAGCUAAUACCGGAUAACAUGUUGAACCGCAUGGUUCAACAGUGAAAGACGGUCUUGCUGUCACUUAUAGAUGGAUCCGCGUCGCAUUAGCUAGUUGGUAAGGUAACGGCUUACCAAGGCAACGAUGCGUAGCCGACCUGAGAGGGUGAUCGGCCACACUGGAACUGAGACACGGUCCAGACUCCUACGGGAGGCAGCAGUAGGGAAUCUUCCGCAAUGGGCGAAAGCCUGACGGAGCAACGCCGCGUGAGUGAAAAAGGUCUUCGGAUCGUAAAACUCUGUUAUUAGGGAAGAACAAAUGUGUAAGUAACUAUGCACGUCUUGACGGUACCUAAUCAGAAAGCCACGGCUAACUACGUG